AACGAACGCUGGCGGCAUGCCUAACACAUGCAAGUCGAACGAGACCUUCGGGUCUAGUGGCGCACGGGUGCGUAACGCGUGGGAACCUGCCCUUAGGUUCGGAAUAACUCCCCGAAAGGGGUGCUAAUACCGGAUAAUGUCUUCGGACCAAAGAUUUAUCCCCUUUGGAUGGGCCAGCGUUGGAUUAGCUAGUUGGUAGGGUAAAAGCCUACCAAGGCGACGAUCCAUAGCUGGGCUGAGAGGAUGAUCAGCCACACUGGGACUGAGACACGGCCUAGACUCCUACGGAAAGCGGCGGUGGGUAAUAUUGGACUAUGGGCGAAAGCCUGAUCCACCAAUGCCGCGAGAGUGAUGAAGGCCUUAGGGGUGUAAAGCUCUUUUAUCCGGGAUGAUAAUGACAGUACCGAGAGAAUAAGCUCCGGCUAACUCCGUG
rnacentral:rRNA from 1 species